UUAGCUUGGCUGUUACAAAUUCACAGUCACAAAUAAAGAAGUUUCACCUUCAGAUUUCGUGCACCGAUGAUGUAACUGGCUGUACGCCAUAUCUUAUUAUACAUCUAAGGCUUCUCUCCGUUUUUACGGUGGCGAUGUAUGUCGUCAUUGGCCGCGACUCUUCAUUGGCCACGAUCUUAUGGGAGGAGCGCCGAGAGGGGCGGAGAAACGAAGUCGGAAAACAUAUUUGAACUGAGUUUGACUCAUUGCUUCGGUUUGUCAGUACUGUGAGAAAACGUAGUCCCAGAGAGGUCUGGAUCAUGGACUGUAUAUGGUCUGGAUGCUAAAACAACACUGGAACAGCUUUUUUGUCGAACACGAGUGAGACUGGACGCUGAACACACCUGCGGCGCGAAGGUUUACUGAUUCAGUUGCUGCAGCCUGGACAGAAACUCCAGCUCUCACCUUACAAACCAAACAGUGUCACCACAUCGCCCAUGAUUGUAGAGAGACUUCGUAUAGUGAAGUAGUUCUUUGAAAUCAGGAAUGAGGCCGCCAGGAUUCAAACCUCAACCAUUAAAUAACAGAGAGAAGAGACAGAUGUGAAGACAUUUCCAGAAGGUCUUCAGCUGCUGCUGUCUUCUUCUCCUGCAGCGACAAGAACACGUGUUAAUCACAGAAACUGAUCAGCAAAUCUAUUUUUCCUUUCCUAAACUGACCUUAUUCAUUGUUGAUACCUAAUUACAGUGAUUUAAACACUGGGUAUUGUUGUAAUUAUUACAUAGUUAUCGCUCAGAUUUCACAGAAGUAGAUAAACAUGAACCAAAUAAAUACAGCAAAACAAUUUAAAUAAUGUUAUUUUACCAAAAUUAUUUGUACUUAAUACACUGACAUUUUUAUUUUAAUUUAAGACAAAGAAACUAUCUUAAAGCAACAAUCUUACUUUUGUUUUUCAGAGACAGU